rnacentral:rRNA from 1 species
UACGAAGGGGGGCGAGCGUUUGUUCGGAUUUACUGGGCGUAAAGGGCGCGCAGGCGGCUUUGUUUGUCAGGCGUGAAAGCCCCGGGCUUAACCUGGGAACUGGCGCUUGAUACGGCAGGGCUAGAGUUCCGGAGAGGAAGGCAGAAUUCCCGGUGUAGCGGUGAAAUGCGUAGAUAUCGGGAGGAAUACCAGUGGCGAAGGCGGCCUUCUGGACGGAUACUGACGCUGAGGCGCGAAAGCCAGGGGAGCAAACGGG